rnacentral:rRNA from 1 species
CCUACGGGAGGCAGCAGUGGGGAAUAUUGGACAAUGGGGGCAACCCUGAUCCAGCCAUGCCGCGUGUGUGAAGAAGGCCCUCGGGUUGUAAAGCACUUUCAGUGAGGAAGAACGCCUGGUGGUUAAUACCCAUCAGGAAAGACAUCACUCACAGAAGAAGCACCGGCUAACUCCGUGCCAGCAGCCGCGGUAAUACGGAGGGUGCGAGCGUUAAUCGGAAUUACUGGGCGUAAAGCGCGCGUAGGUGGCUUGAUAAGCCGGUUGUGAAAGCCCCGGGCUCAACCUGGGAACUGCAUCCGGAACUGUCAAGCUAGAGUGCAGGAGAGGAAGAUAGAAUUCCCGGUGUAGCGGUGAAAUGCGUAGAGAUCGGGAGGAAUACCAGUGGCGAAGGCGGCCGUCUGGACUGACACUGACACUGAGGUGCGAAAGCGUGGGUAGCAAACAGGAUUAGAUACCCGAGUAGUC